rfam:Bombyx mori DNA, contig: Bm_scaf3_contig3153, strain: p50T/Dazao, build 2, whole genome shotgun sequence.
UGCACACUCCUUAGAUCCAUUUCAUUUUCAAUGUGAAAUGCUUGAGUCAUAAGUGUGCUAUAUCAUGAUACCUCCAAUCUUAGACUGAAAUGUUGUAUUUGGCAAAAAAAGACAACUUGUCUUGGAAUGGGGAACAU